AUGAACGCUAGCUACAGGCUUAACACAUGCAAGUCGAGGGGCAGCAUGGUCUUAGCUUGCUAAGACUGAUGGCGACCGGCGCACGGGUGAGUAACACGUAUCCAACCUGCCGUCUACUCUUGGACAGCCUUCUGAAAGGAAGAUUAAUACAAGAUGGCAUCAUGAGUCCGCAUGUUCACAUGAUUAAAGGUAUUCCGGUAGACGAUGGGGAUGCGUUCCAUUAGAUAGUAGGCGGGGUAACGGCCCACCUAGUCUUCGAUGGAUAGGGGUUCUGAGAGGAAGGUCCCCCACAUUGGAACUGAGACACGGUCCAAACUCCUACGGGAGGCAGCAGUGAGGAAUAUUGGUCAAUGGGCGAGAGCCUGAACCAGCCAAGUAGCGUGAAGGAUGACUGCCCUAUGGGUUGUAAACUUCUUUUAUAAAGGAAUAAAGUCGGGUAUGGAUACCCGUUUGCAUGUACUUUAUGAAUAAGGAUCGGCUAACUCCGUGCCAGCAGCCGCGGUAAUACGGAGGAUCCGAGCGUUAUCCGGAUUUAUUGGGUUUAAAGGGAGCGUAGAUGGAUGUUUAAGUCAGUUGUGAAAGUUUGCGGCUCAACCGUAAAAUUGCAGUUGAUACUGGAUAUCUUGAGUGCAGUUGAGGCAGGCGGAAUUCGUGGUGUAGCGGUGAAAUGCUUAGAUAUCACGAAGAACUCCGAUUGCGAAGGCAGCCUGCUAAGCUGCAACUGACAUUGAGGCUCGAAAGUGUGGGUAUCAAACAGGAUUAGAUACCCUGGUAGUCCACACGGUAAACGAUGAAUACUCGCUGUUUGCGAUAUACGGCAAGCGACCAAGCGAAAGCGUUAAGUAUUCCACCUGGGGAGUACGCCGGCAACGGUGAAACUCAAAGGAAUUGACGGGGGCCCGCACAAGCGGAGGAACAUGUGGUUUAAUUCGAUGAUACGCGAGGAACCUUACCCGGGCUUAAAUUGCAGAUGAAUUACGGUGAAAGCCGUAAGCCGCAAGGCAUCUGUGAAGGUGCUGCAUGGUUGUCGUCAGCUCGUGCCGUGAGGUGUCGGCUUAAGUGCCAUAACGAGCGCAACCCUUGUUGUCAGUUACUAACAGGUUCUGCUGAGGACUCUGACAAGACUGCCAUCGUAAGAUGUGAGGAAGGUGGGGAUGACGUCAAAUCAGCACGGCCCUUACGUCCGGGGCUACACACGUGUUACAAUGGGGGGUACAGAGGGCCGCUACCACGCGAGUGGAUGCCAAUCCCAAAAACCUCUCUCAGUUCGGACUGGAGUCUGCAACCCGACUCCACGAAGCUGGAUUCGCUAGUAAUCGCGCAUCAGCCACGGCGCGGUGAAUACGUUCCCGGGCCUUGUACACACCGCCCGUCAAGCCAUGGGAGCCGGGGGUACCUGAAGUGCGUAACCGCGAGGAGCGCCCUAGGGUAAAACUGGUGACUGGGGCU
rnacentral:rRNA from 1 species